ACGAACGCUGGCGGCGUGCCUAAUACAUGCCAGUCGAGCGAAGUUUUUCUGGUGCUUGCACCGGAAAAACUUAGCGGCGACCGGGUGAGUAACACGUAAAGAACCUGCCUCAUAGACUGGGACAACUAUUGGAAACGAUAGCUAAUACCGGAUAAUAGCAUUAACUGCAUGGUUGAUGUUUAAAAGUUGGUUUUGCUAACACUAUGAGAUGGCUUUGCGGUGCAUUAGCUAGUUGGUGGGGUAAAGGCCUACCAAGGCGACGAUGCAUAGCCGACCUGAGAGGGUGAUCGGCCACACCGGGACUGAGACACGGCCCAGACUCCUACGGGAGGCAGCAGUAGGGAAUCUUCCGCAAUGGGCGAAAGCCUGACGGAGCAACGCCGCGUGAGUGAAGAAGGAUUUCGGUUCGUAAAGCUCUGUUGUUAGGGAAGAAUGAUUGUGUAGUAACUAUACACAGUAGAGACGGUACCUAACCAGAAAGCCACGGCUAACUACGUG
rnacentral:rRNA from 1 species